UUAAGUAAGGAAGGGCGUACGGCGAAUGCCUGGCCACUCGAAACUGAAGAAGGACGCGCCAAACUGCGAAAAGCUCCGUGAAGCUGUAAGGAAGCGAAGAAGCGGAGGUGUCCGAAUGGGGGAACCCGGCAGCAGACAUGAGCUGUCAUCUGCAGGUGAAUACAUGGCCUGCAAGAGAGGUACCCGGCGAACUGAAACAUCUAAGUAGCCGGAGGAAAAGAAAACAACAGUGAUUCCCUGAGUAGCGGCGAGCGAAAGGGGAAAAGCCCAAACCGGUCCAAGGACCGGGGUUGAAGGACCAUGAUAUGGCAAGAGAGAGGAUAGAAGAACGGGAUCGAAAGCCCGGCCGAAGAAGGUGCAAGCCCUGUAUUUGAAAUCUGAUUGAAGCCUAAUGGGAUCCUGAGUACGGCGAGACACGAGGAAUCUUGUCGGAAGCAGGCGGGACCAUCCGCCAAGGCUAAAUAUAAACGAGUGAGCGAUAGUGAACCAGUACCGUGAGGGAAAGGUGAAAAGAACCGCGGGAGCGGAGUGAAAGAGAACCUGAAACCGUAUGCCUACAAGAAGUCAGAGCCCGUUAAGGGGUGAUGGCGUGCCUUUUGUAGAAUGAACCGGCGAGUUGCGACAGACUGCGAGGUUAAGGAGGAAAGACCGGAGCCGAAGCGAAAGCGAGUCUUAACAGGGCGAAAGUAGGAUGUUGCAGACCCGAAACCGGGUGAUCUAGCCAUGAGCAGGUUGAAGUUGAGGUGAAACUCAAUGGAGGACCGAACCGACUACCGUUGAAAAGUUAGCGGAUGACUUGUGGCUAGGGGAGAAAUUCCAAUCGAACCCGGAGAUAGCUGGUUCUCCCCGAAAUAGCUUUAGGGCUAGCGUCGGAAAGAACCUUAGUGAAGGUAGAGCACUGAAUGUGUGAUGGCCCCAUCCCGGGGUACUGAAUACAAUCAAACUGCGAAUGUCAUUAAGGAUGUCCGGCAGUCAGACUGUGAGUGAUAAGGUCCAUGGUCAAGAGGGAAACAGCCCAGACCGCCAGUUAAGGUCCCAAAAUACAGGCUAAGUGGAAAAGGAUGUGGGGAUGCCCAGACAACUAGGAGGUUGGCUCAGAAGCAGCCAUCCUUUAAAGAGUGCGUAACAGCUCACUAGUCGAGUGACCCUGCGCCGAAAAUGUACCGGGGCUAAGCCUGAUACCGAAACUGCGGAUUGUAGGAAACUAUAGUGGUAGGGGAGCGUUGUAUACGAGUAGAAGCCGUACCGUGAGGAGCGGUGGAUUGUAUAGAAGUGAGAAUGCCGGUGUGAGUAGCGAGAUGUAGGUGAGAAUCCUACACACCGAAAGCCCAAGGAUUCCAGGGGAAGGUUCGUCCGCCCUGGGUAAGUCGGGACCUAACGCGAGGCCGAAAGGCGUAGUGGAUGGAAAGCAGGCGAAAGAUUCCUGCACCCGUAUAUGGAGCGAAGGAGUGACGGAGACGGAUAGUGUGACCCUCUUAAUGGAUUGAGGGCGAAGCGAAGCGGCUGGUUACCAGGCAAAUCCGGUAACUGAAAGGCUAGAGCGUGACAGGUAAGCGAAAUCUUAGGAAAGUAGCGAAGCACAUGAUGACGGCUUCCAGGAAAAGCUUCUGGCAAUGCAUAUGCGGCCCGUACCAAAACCGACACAGGUGGGCAGGGAGAGAAUCCCGAGGUGAGCGAGAGAACUGUUGCCAAGGAACUCGGCAAAAUGACUCCGUAAGUUAGCGAGAAGGAGUGCUUAAGCAAUUAAGCCGCAGUGAAGAGGCCCAAGCGACUGUUUAACUAAAACACAGCUCUCUGCGAAGUCGCAAGACGAAGUAUAGGGGGUGACACCUGCCCGGUGCUGGAAGGUUAAGAGGAUCUGUUAAGAGCGAUCUGAAGCAGUGAUCCGAAGCCCCAGUGAACGGCGGCCGUAACUAUAACGGUCCUAAGGUAGCGAAAUUCCUUGUCAGGUAAGUUCUGACCC
rnacentral:rRNA from 1 species